rnacentral:rRNA from 1 species
UCAAGCUACUAAGGGCAUACGGCGGAUGCCUAGGCGCCAUCAGCCGAUGAAGGACGCGGUAAGCUGCGAAAAGCUACGGGGAACUGCAAGCAAGUAUUGAUCCGUAGAUGUCCGAAUGGGGAAACCCACCUGCCGUCAUGGGCAGGUAUCCGAAAGGAAGGGAACCCGGGGAACUGAAACAUCUAAGUACCCGGAGGAAGAGAAAUCAAACGAGAUGCCCACAGUAGCGGCGAGCGAAGAGGGCAGAGGGCAAACCGGGGAGCUACGGCUCUCCGGGGUUGAGGACUGCAUUUAGUUUCAAUGGUUUAUCCGAACUACUUGGAAAAGUAGGCAACACAGUGUAAAAGCCACGUAGGUUAAAGACCAAAGAGAUGAGCAGUAUCCAGAGUACCACGAGGCACGAGGAAUCUUGUGGGAAGCCGGGGGGACCACCCUCCAACCCUAAACACUGAAUGGCGACCGAUAGCGCAUAGUACCGUGAGGGAAAGGUGAAAAGAACCCCGGGAGGGGAGUGAAAGAGAACCUGAAACCGUAUGUCUACAAGCAGUCGGAGCGAAAGCGACGGCGUGCCUAUUGAAGAAUGAACCAACGAGUUACGUGCACUAGCGAGGUUAAGUGGAAGACACGGAGCCGAAGCGAAAGCGAGUCUUAAGAGGGCGGAUAGUUAGUGUACGUAGACCCGAAACCGCAGUGAUCUACCCAUGUCCAGGUUGAAGCGCAGGUAAAAUUGCGUGGAGGACCGAACCUGUGAGCGUUGAAAAGCUUUAGGAUGAGAUGUGGGUAGAGGUGAAAUUCCAAUCGAACGCGGAGAUAGCUGGUUCUCCCCGAAAUAGCUUUAGGGCUAGCCUCAAGUAGUAAGUAUAGGCGGUAGAGCACUGAUCGGGCUAGGGGCCAUAAAGGUUACCGAACCCUGUCAAACUCCGAAUGGUUAUACUGUAGAGCUUGGGAGUCAGACUACGAGUGAUAAGAUCCGUGGUCAAAAGGGAAACAGCCCAGACCACCAGCUAAGGUCCCCAAUGUCGUACUAAGUGGAAAAGGAUGUGGGGUCUCUAAAACAACCAGGAUGUUGGCUUAGAAGCAGCCACCAUUUAAAGAGUGCGUAAUAGCUCACUGGUCGAGAGACCCUGCGCCGAAGAUUACCGGGGCUAAAGUACGAAACCGAAGCUGUGGCUACGACUUAGGUCGUGGGGUAGGGGAGCGUUCUGUGAGGGCUGAAGUCGUUCUGUAAGGAACGGUGGACUUCACAGAAGUGAGAAUGUUGGUAUGAGUAGCGAAAAGAAUGGUGAGAAUCCAUUCCACCGAAAGCAUAAGGAUUCCUGGGCAACGAUCGUCGUCCCAGGGUAAGUCGGGACCUAAUCCGAGGCAUGGAGCGUAGGAGAUGGACAACUGGCAGAUAUUCCAGUACCGGUAAUGAUUGUUUGAGCGAUGGAGUGACACAGGAGGGCAGGCAGGCAGGAGAUUGGUUGUUCCUGUACAAGCGUGUAGGGUGGAACGUAGGCAAAUCCGCGUUCUGAGAGCCUGAGGCGUGAUGUGGAGGUUCCGGAAACGGAACUGAAGCUGCUGACCCCACACUGUCGAGAAAAGCUUCUAGUUAGAGAAUUACCGCCCGUACCGUAAACCGACACAGGUAUGCGGGGAGAGAAUCCUAAGGUGCGCGGGAGAACCCUCGUUAAGGAACUCGGCAAAAUGUACCCGUAACUUCGGGAUAAGGGUAGCCGCUGUUGUGAAGUCUGCACAGAUGGAGCAUGAGGCGGUCGCAGAGAAGAGGCCCAAGCGACUGUUUACCACAAACACAGGUGCCUGCUAAAGAGAAAUCUGACGUAUAGGUGCUGACACCUGCCCAGUGCCGGAAGGUUAAGGAAGGAUGUCCGGAGCAAUCCAAAGCAUUCGACCGAAGCCCCGGUGAACGGCGGCCGUAACUAUAACGGUCCUAAGGUAGCGAAAUUCCUUGUCGGGUAAGUUCCGACCCGCACGAAAGGUGUAACGAUUUGGGCACUGUCUCAACGAGGGACCCGGUGAAAUUGAAGUACCUGUGAAGAUGCAGGUUACCCGCGACUGGACAGAAAGACCCCAUGGAGCUUUACUGUAACCUGACAUUGGGUUCUGAUACAUCACGUACAGGAUAGGUGGGAGGCAUGGAAGCGAGGACGCUAGUCUUCGUGGAGCCGCCGUUGGGAUACCACCCUUGAUGUAUCGGAAUUCUAACCGUAGGAGUAACGAAACUCGGGACAGUGUCAGGCGGGCAGUUUGACUGGGGCGGUCGCCUCCCAAAGAGUAACG